CAAAGAUCUAUGUAACCCAAACGACCUUAACACCCUCCUCAAGAUCGAGAAAUCCUUCAAUUUCAACUUUAUCAUGCAGAACCAUCUGCCUAGAAGGACAUCCAGGUAGAUGGUUCUAGGUAAAUGUCCUUCUCUGUACAUUUCAAAGUUCCAUAAUGUAGCACUAAGUUUCCGAGAAGUAUCAGUUUAAACCUAUAAAAAAUAUGUAUUACUAGCUCGAAGUGAUCAGCUCGCAUCGCAAAAGGUAGAGGUUUCCACAAAGAAUUAUCCUAUGUUUCCACCUAUUUGUAAUAAAAGUCUGAAAUAACUAAAAACUAAGAUAAUAUUUCGAACCAUGUUUACAUUUUGCAGACACAUAAAUAAUUUUUGCUAUGAGCUUCACUUCAAGAGGCCCAAUUAAUUACCUUCUUAAAACACUAGCUUUGGGCUGUUAAUUUACGGUAAAUACAUAAAACUUUUGUAAAAUUUUUGAAAGAGAAACAUUCUUGAAUCCGGACAGGAUCUUGUUGAAAACGUAAUAAUCCAGCAAGUUCCAUUGAUUACGUUAAUAUGAUUCAGGUACCACUAAAAUUUAACCACAAACACUACCGUUAUAGUGGGAAGACAACACAAAACAGCAAAUAAAAGAGUUAUUUUUGCAUAGUAAACCAUCUUCGUGACCAGAAAAGUACCACAACACAAUGCAUGAGGAAACAGAUCUCUUUCUAACUGAGGGUCUCGAGGCAUGCUAGAAUUCUCUCAUACUUAGUCAUCAUCAUGAUUGCAAACAUUCUACAAAGAAUAAUAGAUUCAAUUAGUUAUUUUAACAAGUAAAAGGUACAAUAUAAAGUAAAUCUUAUACUAAUAAUACCUUGAAAGAGACGAACUCUGUUACCGUGUUAGGUUUGACCGCAAAACGUACGUAACCCCGAUCCCCAAUAUCUAUAUCACCAAGACAGUCUUGACAUUCAAGAUACUGAUCCCCAUACCUGUCUAUACCGUCACCUACAAAAGAAGACAUUAAAUACUUUUUAAAAUGAAAAUAAAAACAUAAACGAAAAAUAUAAUCAGUCUGAACCUGUAAGCAGCAUGGUAUGAAAAUCUAGCUUGCAAGGUUUGCCCUUAUCCUUAGCCAACUUGUAGGCUGCAAACUCAUCUUCUGUAGGCUUGUAUAUGUCCUAUAAUAUGAAAAUUAACAACAGCAUCAGAAGUAGGAAUAUGUAAAUAACAGAAGGGAUAUAAGACGAGGUGAACAAAACAGGUAAGAGUUACUUACAUCUAGUUUCUUGGAUUUGGUUUUGUAGGAUGGGAACAUAGGCAAAGAGAACGUGAGCGGUCCUCCAUCUAAUUCAGCCAACAUCUCCUCAACCAUCCAUUCUUCUGGGACCUCUUCUCCAGCAGUCAUAACUUUUAUUUGAGGAGCUUCGAAAACACGA
rnacentral:lncRNA from 1 species